UUGGAGUCAUUUUUGGCCUCAGCUCUUCUCUGUGAAUGAUGCACAGAUGUCUACAAUUGUGGCCCAGCGUGAUGGCCCACACCGCUCCAGCCCCUAUACAAGUCAUCCCUGGCCUGACUCCAGCAUCAGCAUCCAUUGCAAAUGUCUGUGGACACGGUGGUACCCAAGGCUGAAUUCAGAGCUGACACAAACUUGCAGUCGACUGUCUCAGAAUGCCAAGAUCUUCAACAUACCCCUGGCUGCCCUCAUCCAUUCAGGAGCUCUGAGAGGCUACUUCUGUUCUUGCUGGGGACCCAGGCGCCUUGUUUGGUGGCAGGCCUCCUGCUCCCUAUGUGAGCAGCCUGAUUAUGGGAGGGGAAGUCUGGCUUUCCUUCUCUCUCUUCUACUCCUUCAGGGCUCCCCACUCUGGACCAUGCCUGACACCUAUAGCAUCCCCUUCUAUCUGACUUCUGGUCCUGCUACAAGCUCCUCAAAGCAUCUCCAAUCCCGACUCCAGCAUCCUUUUCCCCACCAUAUUCUGGCCAUAGGCCAAGUUGCCCUAAGCAUGUUUAUGCCUCUCUCUGCUGGGCAUACUGCUCACACCUGUGACAGUUUGCCUCACAGGGAGCCUGGC
rnacentral:lncRNA from 1 species